CCCCGUGAACCUUUACUAUAGCUUCACAGUGAACUUUGAGCAUGUUUGUGUAGGAUAGCUGGGAGGCUUUGAAGUGGGAACGCCAGUUCUCAUGGAGCCAACCUUGAAAUACCAGCCUGACAUGUUUGAGGUUCUAACUUGGACCCCUUAUCGGGGUUGAGGACACUGUGUGGUGGGUAGUUUGACUGGGGCGGUCUCCUCCCAAAGCGUAACGGAGGAGCACAAAGGUGGGCUAAGCAUGGUCGGACAUCAUGCGGUUAGUGUAAUGGCACAAGCCCGCUUAACUGCGAGACAGACACGUCGAGCAGGUACGAAAGUAGGUCAUAGUGAUCCGGUGGUUCUGUAUGGAAGGGCCAUCGCUCAACGGAUAAAAGGUACUCCGGGGAUAACAGGCUGAUACCGCCCAAGAGUUCACAUCGACGGCGGUGUUUGGCACCUCGAUGUCGGCUCAUCACAUCCUGGGGCUGAAGCCGGUCCCAAGGGUAUGGCUGUUCGCCAUUUAAAGUGGUACGCGAGCUGGGUUUAGAACGUCGUGAGACAGUUCGGUCCCUAUCUGCCGUGGACGUUGGAGAUUUGAGGAAAGCUGCUCCUAGUACGAGAGGACCGGAGUGGACGAACCGCUGGUGUUCGGGUUGUGUCGCCAGACGCAUUGCCCGGUAGCUAUGUUCGGAUAGGAUAACCGCUGAAAGCAUCUAAGCGGGAAGCCCCUUCCAAGAUGAGAUCUCCCUGGACCUUUAAGGUCCCUGAAGAGCCGUUCAAGACCAGGACGUUGAUAGGUCGGGUGUGUAAGCGCUGCGAGGCGUUGAGCUAACCGAUACUAAUUGCUCGUGCGGCUUGAC
rnacentral:rRNA from 12 species